GAUGCAUUUGGUCUCCAUAACCCUUUCAAAUCUCCAAUGGUACCUCUUGUAUGGAGAUAUAUCUCGACCAAGACAGCUCAUAUGCUCGCCUUACCUCCAAGGUAACGAUUGUUAAACCAUUUAGUUUACCGCUGGAGAUUCCAUUGGGUGUCUGCUACUCUGUUUUUGCUUCCUCAAUCCUCACCCACCAAUUCAACUCGUCUCUCUCUCUCUCUCUUCUCCUCCCCCCACGCGACGAAGUAGAUUCAGAACCAAUACUAAGAUGAACUACUUCGCCGUACAAUUGAACCAUCCAAUUACCUUUUGCUACCCUAGAUGCCGACGAGCCAGCUCUCUGGUGCUCAUCCUGCUCCUCCUGAAGCACUACAGAGCUCUCUGGUGUGUGUGUGUCUUUACUUGUCAGACUUUGAAUUUUGUAAUUUGUGCAGGGAAAGUGGAUUUGGAUCUAACACGCUUUUGGAUUGGUGAUUGGUGAAGAUAUCCUAACUGCUAUGGCUACAGAGCUCUCUGGUCUUUGCAGGGAAAAUUGGAUUGGAUCCUCUCAAUCAUAACACGCUUUUGGAUCCUCUCAAUGGAGGGAACCCUUUCAAUAUUAAAGUGGGUGAAAACAGCAAUUCUCAGGUACGUAGUGGACAGCAAGAUUGAACCAUUCCUUACCUUUUGCUACCCUAGAUGCCGACAAGCUAUCUGGUGCUCAUCCUGCUCAAGUACUACGAAGCUUUGGUCUGUGUGUGUCUCUCUUUACUUCUCAGAUUGUAUGUGCAGGUAAAGUGGAUCCUCUGAUUGGAGAGAACCUUUCGUAUGUUGUCAUGUUUUAUACAGAUACCCUUUGUAUGGAAAUAUCUCGAGAAAGGCUGCUCAUAUGCUCGCCUUACGUAAGCUCACAGUCAAUGUCACGUCACUGCCCUCAUAGUUAAUGUUGUAGAUGCUAUUUCAAGGGGUGACGUUCCACUUACCGGUGUGCAGUAUACAGCUUCUCUGAGUUAAGGAGUCUGCUUCCAGAGCAAAAAGGCCAAGAAGGUGUUAGUGAUCUAGCCCUUGGAUGAGAGUCAUUCGUGAAGUCAGACCAGAUCAGCAGUUGGUGAAGAUCGUACCUGAUGAGCUAGUCAAAUUGAUAGGUGGAGGAAAGCUACACUUCCUUGCUCAGACCUGCAUUAACUAGGCUGGGUAAAAUCGAAGACUGUUGGCUAUGGAAGAUACAUUACAGAAGGAGCCAAGUGAAGAGCCAAUAUGUUUGUUCAGUUGACUGGUGGACUUGAGGACGCUGCUUGCAUACCAAAGUCAAACUCAAAGGCCAAGCCUUUAUAUUUGUGGACAGCUUCUCCCAGUGCCCCCAUGCAUCUGGUCUCCAUAACCGUUUCAAAUCUCCCGAGAGAUUGUACAUGAUGAGCAAGUCAAAUUGAUGGGUGGAGGAGAAGUAUCUAAGCUACACUUCCUUGUAGUCAGUGGAUAUUUCAAUCUAUGACAUGUGGUUGGUGAUGUCAUACCUCUCAACAUUGGAAAUCAGGUUCUUGCGCAUCGAGUGCUAAUAUCUGGCCAUUCCCUUGCCCUUGAUGAGUCUAGCAUGACUGGACAGAGCAAAAUCGUGUGUGUUUUUCUUUCCUAUCAUAAUAAAACUUGUUGACUUUCUCGUCCCGCUUUAUGGUGAUUCAAGAGGUGGUGGUGCUGCUUUGAGUGUCAAGGAGGUAUCGGAGAAACCGAUUAAACUGGUAAGAUGUGGAGAGCGAAUGGAGGAUCUUGAACCCUUUUUAUCCUGAUCGAAUGGCUGUACGAAUUCUAUGAAUGGCAACAGAAGCUUAGUCUAUUCUAUGAUCAUAUGCAACUGAUGAAGCCACGGUUGGAGACCAUCCGGGAGGAAAUGCAAAACAAGGCGAUGGAAGUAAGAUCCAAUCAGCUUUGUCAGAGUGGACUGGCCAGAGUACUGUUCCAAGCGUCUUCAUCAAAGGAAAACAUAUCGGUGGAAGCGAUAAAGUGAUGGAGACUUACAAGCAAGGCAAGCUUGUGCCUCUCCUUACUGAAGCUGGUGCUCUUUCCAAUAUCCCUUCCAAGCUUUGAUGUAACCGCUCAAACCAGUGUAUGUUAUUAGAUCAUGGAAAUGUAUUGUCACUUAACCCAAAUAAAAGAAAUAUCCUUUCUCU